UACAGAGGGUGCUAGCGUUGUUCGGAAUCAUUGGGCGUAAAGGGCGUGUAGGCGGUUUGUUAAGUCAUGUGUGAAAUCCCUCGGCUCAACCGGGGAACGACGCAUGAAACUGGCAAGCUAGAGUACCAAAGAGGGGGUGGAAUUCCCGGUGUAGCGGUGAAAUGCGCAGAUAUCAGGAGGAACACCGGUGGCGAAGGCGGGUCUCUGGGCCGAUACUGACGCUGAGGAGCGAAAGCAUGGGUAGCGAACAGG
rnacentral:rRNA from 1 species